rnacentral:rRNA from 1 species
CACGGAGUUAGCCGAUGCUUUUUCUCCGGGUACUCUCCAAACCGCACACGUGCGGCACUUUGCUCCCCGGCAAAAGAGGUUUACAACCCAUAGGGCCGUCAUCCCUCACGCGACUUGGCUGGUUCAAGCUCCCGCCCAUUGACCAAUAUUCCUCACUGCUGCCUCCCGUAGGAGUCUGGUCCGUGUCUCAGUACCAGUGUGGGGGACCUUCCCUCAGAACCCCUACGCAUCGUCGUCUUGGUGGUCCGUUACACCGCCAACUAACUAAUGCGACGCAUGCCCAUCCGCCACCGGAAUUAACCUUUGGCACCAACAGGAUGUCCCGUCGAUGCAUUAUGCCGUAUUAGACGGGUAUUUCUCCCGAUUAUCCGGCUGUGGCAGGCAGGUUGCAUACGUGUUACUCACCCGUGCGCCGGUCGCCGGCUGGUGAAGGCAAGCCUUCACCACCGCUCGCCCCUCGACUUGCUAUCGUGUUAACGCCUGUCGCUAGCCGUUCAUCCGUGACGCCAGGACUACGUAAA